rnacentral:rRNA from 1 species
AGCGAACGCUGGCGGCGUGCUUAACACAUGCAAGUCGCGCGAGAAAGGGGGGGCAACUCCCUGAGUAAAGCGGCAGACGGGUGAGUAACACGUGGGUAACCUGUCCUCGAGUGGGGAAUAACCCCGCGAAAGUGGGACUAAUACCGGAUACGAUGGCGGAGCGGGAGCUCUGCGAUGAAAGUCGGCCUCUCCAUGGAAGCCGGCGUUCGGGGAUGGGCCUGCGUCCUAUCAGCUGGUUGGUAGGGUAACGGCCUACCAAGGCGACGAAGGGUAGCUGGGCUGAGAGGAUGAUCAGCCACGCUGGCACUGGAAAACGGGCCAGACUCCUACGGGAGGCAGCAGUGAGGAAUUUUGCGCAAUGGCCGCAAGGCUGACGCAGCAACGCCGCGUGGGUGAAGAAGGCCUUCGGGUCGUAAAGCCCUGUCAGGUGGGAAGAACACCAUGGGGAUGAAUAAGCUUCAUGGCUGACGGUACCACCAGAGGAAGCACCGGCUAACUCCGUGCCAGCAGCCGCAGUAAAAC